UGCUUACUAGCUAGCCCUAUAACCCGCAAAAAAUUACAAUUAUUCUUAAACCAACAAGUACUCAAUUAUACUUGACUAAAACAUUUUUAGCCUUUAGUAUUGGCGAGAAAACCAGGACUCAGGAGCAAUAGAACCAGUACCGUAAGGGAACGCUGAAAGAAGAGUGAAAUAAACGAGUGAAGCUGCUAAAAGCAGAGAUUAACCCUCGUACCUUUUGCAUCAUGAUUUAGCCAGUGUAUACAAGCAAAAUGUAUUUUAGUUUGAUUACCCGAAACUAAGCGAGCUACUCCAGGGCAGCCUGUCUGUAGGGCACACCCGUCUCUGUGGCAAAAGAGUGGGAAGACCCUUGAGUAGUGGUGACAAGCCUAUCGAGCUUAGUUAUAGCUGGUUGCCCGGGAAAUGAAUAGAAGUUCAGCCGCCCCACUUCUUACACAAACCUUUAUUUAAUAUCAAACAUAAUGGUUUAAGAAGUGGAGGGAGUUAGUCAAAGGGGGUACAGCCCCUUCGACCCGAGACACAACUUUUAAGGGGAGGGUUAAGAUCACA
rnacentral:rRNA from 1 species